rnacentral:rRNA from 1 species
UACGUAGGGUGCGAGCGUUGUCCGGAAUUACUGGGCGUAAAGAGCUCGUAGGCGGUUUGUCACGUCGUCUGUGAAAUCCUAGGGCUUAACCCUGGACGUGCAGGCGAUACGGGCUGACUUGAGUACUACAGGGGAGACUGGAAUUUCUGGUGUAGCGGUGGAAUGCACAGAUAUCAGGAAGAACACCGAUGGCGAAGGCAGGUCUCUGGGUAGUAACUGACGCUGAGGAGCGAAAGCAUGGGUAGCGAACAGGAUUAGAAACCCCGGUAGUCC